AGAGGUCACACGUUGCUAGUGUUUUAUUGGUUAAUACGUGCAUAAUCAGGUCACACAAUAGAAAGCUGAAACCAAAGUAAUGAAUUGCAGAACAGCACAGCCAUAGAACACCCACAUCAUCAUACAGGAGGGACAAGAGUUCUCCUGACCAUUUAGUCUAGACCGGAACAUUUCCUAGUCAGGAAAAACAGCUGUUCCUCAACAGAACACCGGAGGACACAAUUUCCAGCUCCCCCAUGUCCAUACUCAGUGAGCAAAACUGGUUGAAAAAACAUUUAACUAGUUUUGCUGUUGAAAUUACAUAUUUCAACCAGUUUUGCGGGUAGUGAAGAGAUACAUUGGGUUACAAUGUCCAAUAGCUCAUUCCUGUUGCAACCCAACAGGUCCACAUGUUCCAUAGCAAUCCAACAGGUCCACAUGUUCCAUAGCAACCCAACAGAUCCACAUGUUCCAUAGCAACCCAACAGGUUCACAUGAUCCAUAGCAACCCAACAGGUCGACAUGUUCCAUAGUAACCCAACAGGUUCACAUGAUCCAUAGCAACCCAACAGGUUCACAUGAUCCAUAGCAACCCAACAGGUUCACAUGAUCCAUAGCAACCCAACAGGUUCACAUGAUCCAUAGCAACCCAACAGGUCGACAUGUUCCAUAGCAACCCAACAGGUUCACAUGAUCCAUAGCAAACCAACAGGUUCACAUGUUCCAUAGCAACCCAACAGGUCGACAUGUUCCAUAGCAACCCAACAGGUCGACAUGUUCCAUAGCAACCCAACAGGUCGACAUGUUCCAUAGUAACCCAACAGGUUCACAUGAUCCAUAGCAACCCAACAGGUCGACAUGUUCCAUAGCAACCCAACAGGUUCACAUGAUCCAUAGCAAACCAACAGGUUCACAUGAUCCAUAGCAAACCAACAGGUUCACAUGAUCCAUAGCAAACCAACAGGUUCACAUGAUCCAUAGCAAACCAACAGGUUCACAUGAUCCAUAGCAACCCAACAGGUCGACAUGUUCCAUAGCAACCCAACAGGUCGACAUGUUCCAUAGCAACCCAACAGGUUCACAUGAUCCAUAGCAAACCAACAGGUUCACAUGAUCCAUAGCAAACCAACAGGUUCACAUGAUCCAUAGCAAACCAACAGGUUCACACAACCAUCUGAUCGGAGGACAGCGUAAAAGAUUAAGCAUAUACAUAAUGCUUUCUGGUUAUAAAAAAUAAAAAGUGACACACAUAGAAAUCAACUGUUUAAAGUGACAUGUUAUAUUUGUUCAGUAACAAAGAAUCUUAGUUCAAACAUCUCUAUGCUUUGUCCAGCCUUAAGACAUAAGAGGAACAGCAACUGUUGAUUGUAAAAUGUAUGCUACUAUUUCAUAAGAGGUGGAAUUAAAGCAACAGAAGACCAACUAGGACAAGAAUGAAACAGAGUUAAAGCGCAUUAAUAACAGUUUAUUCUGUUACAGUAUUCUAAAACACAUUCAAACAUUAAUGCCCAAGACAAAUCAUACAAAUAAUGUACUUGUUUGUAAUAUCACCCUCACAUUUAUAAAUGAUUGUUACAAAUAAUGUUUGAUCUGGAAGCAGAUGUUUUUAAAUAAAAUACAGUAAGGUCUUUUUUACUUAUUUGAGUAUCUCAUUUACAGUAUAAUACACAUUACUUUGAUAAGUAUAUAAGGAUACUUGCAAGUAAACACAUAGUUCCUAUUGAAGUGAAACGUCAUGGCGUUUUGUAGUUAUUCAUUUGGUGUUAAUUGUAGAAGCUUUAUAAGCAUUAACUUUGAAAAGUACUGGCAAAAGAGUUGAAAUGAAGAACGAACCUCUUUUGCCUCAAAGGUCUGUAGCCCAUGUUUUCCUGACAACAGGAAGAGAAUGUUAUGCCCGCAUCUAACUCCAUUACCUACUGUAGGUAAGCAAAGUAAAAUAGAAUGUUAACAGGUUAAAAUGGGCCGUCCCACUAGCAGAGUCACAGCCCACAGCUACCGCCCACUGUAAUCCUCAAAAAUAAAAGACAGGAAGCUUUACCAGACAAUUUAGACCACAGUAAAAACACAUAAAACACGGUAAAAAUAACGUUUUUGGUCAUCCUUCUGAAGCACAUCCGAACCUAUUUCUGUUCCACACAUGUAUGUGUAAAGAGAGGAGAGCAGGGGAGCUUCCCCAAAGUAGAAAGGAUCUGGGAGGAAUUUGUUUUCCUGCAUGACAUUACUGUACAUAUACAACCAGGAGACCAAACAAUACAUUAAUGAGUUAGCCUUUCGACUAGGCGACCUACACAAAAGCUAAUAAUUCAGUUGGACUUAUAAACAUGUACUGCAGGUAAUACUCACAUAUUUCUGAUGUAUAUACAUAUAUUUAUGUAAACAUACAUA